rnacentral:tRNA from 1 species
CGCGGAGUGGAGCAGUUGGCAGCUCGUUGGGCUCAUAACCCAAAGGUCAUAGGUUCAAGUCCUAUCUCCGCAA